rnacentral:rRNA from 1 species
GUAUCCUGGCUCAGGAUGAACGCUAGCUACAGGCUUAACACAUGCAAGUCGAGGGGCAGCAUAAACUUAGCUUGCUAAGUUUGAUUGGCGACCGGCGCACGGGUGAGUAACACGUAUCCAACCUUCCGGUUUAACUAAGGGAUAGCCUUUCGGAAAGGAAAGAUUAAUACCUGAUAGUAUGGUGAGAUUGCAUGAUAAACACCGAUUAAAGAUUUAUUGGUAAACGAUAAGGAUGCGUUCCAUUAGGUAGUAGGCGGG